rnacentral:rRNA from 1 species
UACGUAGGGUGCGAGCGUUGUCCGGAAUUAUUGGGCGUAAAGGGCUCGUAGGCGGUUUGUCGCGUCGGGAGUGAAAUCCACUGGCUUAACUGGUGGCUUGCUUUCGAUACGGGCAGACUAGAGUGCGGUAGGGGAGAUUGGAAUUCCUGGUGUAGCGGUGGAAUGCGCAGAUAUCAGGAGGAACACCAAUGGCGAAGGCAGAUCUCUGGGCCGUAACUGACGCUGAGGAGCGAAAGCAUGGGGAGCGAACAGG